UCCGUUGGUGAACCAGCGGAGGGAUCAUUACAGAGUUGCAAAACUCCCUAAACCAUUGUGAACGUUACCUAAACCGUUGCUUCGGCGGGCGGCCCCGGGGUUCUCCCCGGGCGCCCCUGGGCCCCAUCGCGGGCGCCCGCCGGAGGUCACCAAACUCUUGAUACUUUAUGGCCUCUCUGAGUCUUCUGUACUGAAUAAGUCAAAACUUUCAACAACGGAUCUCUUGGUUCUGGCAUCGAUGAAGAACGCAGCGAAAUGCGAUAAGUAAUGUGAAUUGCAGAAUUGCACGUGAAUCAUCGAAUCUUUGAAUGCACAUUGCGCCCGCCAGUAUUCUGGCGGGCAUGCCUGUUCGAGCGUCAUUUCAACCAUCAAGCCCCCGGCUUGUGUUGGGGACCUGCGGCUGCCGCAGGCCCUGAAAAGCAGUGGCGGGCUCGCUGUCACACCGAGCGUAGUAGCAUACAUCUCGCUCUGGGCGUGCUGCGGGUUCCGGCCGUUAAACCACCUUCAUAACCCAAGGUUGACCUCGGAUCAGGUAGGAAGACCCGCUGAACUUAAGCAUAUCAAUAAGCGGAGGA
rnacentral:rRNA from 1 species